UGCUUCAAGUGUGGUAUGGCAGCACCCAUCUGCUGUGUCCAUCUACACUUUAUUAUAUAUCUAUGCACCUCAUCAGGGAAGCACGGGAACCCGCAGGCACUGCUAGUAGGAAGGCAAGCUGGCCUGGCCAUUCUGGAGAAGAACAUGGCAGUAUACUCAGUCACAUUCCAGUCGCACAGCCUGUGAUUUGGGUAUGCAUCAUGGAUAAAUGUUCAUUGUAGUGUUAUUUAGGAAAUCCAGGAGCUGGAGAUGGAAAGCAAUGUGCUUGAACUAGGUAGGAUGUAUACAGCUCAAAUGGGCCAACUGUUAAAUUUUCAGGAAUUUGGUGAGCUAGUUUUUAUACCCCGUUAUUAUUUAAAAUCAAAUUAUAUAAACUUACCACUAAAUAACAUAUAUUUUUAAAAGUAAUAAAUACUUAAAACACACUGCUUCCUAGUGCUUUCACUAGACUGAACCAUCAUCUUGGCUUCUGGGGUCACUGAGGCCUACUGUAUCUCCCUGGUGGACAUCCCACCUCAUGGUGUGCUGCUGCUGCCAUUCUCUGCUGGUUCUGUGUUCAGGGAUGUCCUGUUGGUAGCUUGAAAGAGGCCAUGGUGGGAAUAAUUACACUAUGGAAAUUAGCAAACCCUAUUUUGGCUAACCCUGACAGCUAAUUGUUAAACAUUUACCAGUUCACUGGAGACUAGUAUUACUCCCCUUUACAAAUGAGAAAAAUGUGGCUCAGACAGCGUAUGAAACUUGCCAAGAACCACACAACUUGUGACUGGUGCAAAUUGGAUUCAGACCCAAGCCUGUCUCAGACCUUGUACUUUACUUUGAUGAAAAUUGGAAGUGAGUUAUAACGUUUAGACUAUAAAAUUCCCAAUACUUUACCACCAACAUUGCACUUAUGUUUUUGUUUAAAAAAAAAAAAGUCUAUGGCUGCCUGCACCUGAGUACAGUGUGAAAUCAAGAAACGGCACAGUUUUUAGAAACAUCUGCUUACUGAUUGAGCUUCAUUAACUCCUCAUGUGAGAUCCCAGUCCUGAACCACAGGUGCUGUUGCUUACAGUGCGUAAGAAAAAUAAAUGAGUUCAGCUUCCAGGUUAGUGCUGUGAGGUUACAUAAACUAAUCAUUAAACAUGACAGCUAAGAUAUUUUAGCUACUGUUUAACUUUAAAAGAUUUGUUAAUAAAUAAUGCUAUUGCACACUGGAGGCCUUGACCCUGUCUCUACCUGAGUCACAAACCUUUGUGUUUGUAUAGAAGUUACACUAUUUCCUACAUUUGACUUGAAAUUUAGUCACAUUUUCUUCUCAUUGUCAAUUAUCUACUUUCUCUCUCAUUCAUUCAGUCAUCAAUAAACAUUGAAAAUGAUGAAUGCAACUUGAGACCAAAAGAGUUGGGAAAAAUCCUUUCUAACAUGACUGAAUGAAAAUAUUUCAUGAAUCAAAUGCUCUCUAAAAUGUGAAUAUGAGGCAAACAACCUCCUGGACGACUAAAUGGUCAGAUGCAAAGGUGAACUGACAUGAGCUCCUAAUUGGAUUUUGUAGGCCAACAUUUUUUUAAAAAGUAUUUUUAAUAAGGAAAAUUUCAAGUGUUUACAAAAGUAGAGAAAACAGUACAACAAAUCUCCCUGUACCUAUUGUCGAGGUUCAACCAUCAUUAACUCAUGGUCAAUCAUCUGUCAUGCCCAUCUUGUUUGAUGCGUGUCUGCUUCCAAACCUGUCUGCCUUUCCAAUCCCAGCAAUGCCAGGGCAUUUCACUUUUCAAUUUAUUAUUUACAUAUAUAUCCUAAGUGGAUACAUUCAUCUACUGUACUCUACACACUGGGUUCCACAAAAGCAAGCAGACAUGUGUGGUGCUGUACAACUACUUUUAUAGAACUUGCCACCAUACAUUUAUAAAUUAUAACCAUAUAAUGUACCAACAAUGCUUUGAGGUAGAAUACUACCACUUUACAGAUGAAGGAACUGAAACACAGAGGUUAGGCAACUUGCCCACCAUCACACAGUGAGUUAAGCAGCAGAACUGAGAUUUGAACCCAAACAGUCUGGUUCCAGAGGCUAUGCCUUUAGCCAUGACACCACAGCCUUCACACAGGAAUUUACAUGCACUACUGAACGCUCAACUGCUUAGCCAAAGCUUCUGCAUUGGAAUGGUUCCUGCCUUGUUACCCCAGAUCAAUGAAUAGAGACUUUCCUUAAAACACUAUUCGGAUGGCUCUCCUCAUCCCCAAACAAUACCACAAGUUACUCCAGGGCAUAUUCUGUUUAUAAUUUUGAAAUGUCAGGUUUCAUUUCAUUCAUGGCAUCAAAACUUUGAAAUUUGCUGAGAUGAAACUUACGGCACAGUAUAUGAUCAGUUUUUAUAAAUAUUCAAUGUGUGCUUGAAAAGAAUAUAUAUUCUGCAAUUGUUGGGUUCUAUACACAUCCACUAGAUUGUUAGUCAUGUGUUCAGCUUUAUAUGCAUAUAAAAUGUUAAAAUUUC
rnacentral:lncRNA from 1 species